UUUCCUCGCAUGAGGAAAUGUUGAAAGAUGGCUUCUUGCUAUCACUUACAGAUGGACCCGCGGCGCAUUAGCUAGUUGGUGAGGUAACGGCUCACCAAGGCAACGAUGCGUAGCCGACCUGAGAGGGUGAUCGGCCACACUGGGACUGAAACACGGCCCAGACUCCUACGGGAGGCAGCAGUAGGGAAUCUUCCGCAAUGGACGAAAGUCUGACAGAGCAACGCCGCGUGAGUGAUGAAGGUUUUCGGAUCGUAAAGCUCUGUUGUUAGGGAAGAACAAGUGCCGUUCGAAUAGGGCGGCACCUUGACGGUACCUAACCAGAAAGCCACGGCUAACUACGUGCCAGCAGCCGCGGUAAUACGUAGGUGGCAAGCGUUGUCCGGAAUUAUUGGGCGUAAAGCGCGCGCAGGUGGUUUCUUAAGUCUGAUGUGAAAGCCCACGGCUCAACCGUGGAGGGUCAUUGGAAACUGGGGAACUUGAGUGCAGAAGAGGAAAGUGGAAUUCCAAGUGUAGCGGUGAAAUGCGUAGAUAUUUGGAGGAACACCAGUGGCGAAGGCGACUUUCUGGUCUGUAACUGACACUGAGGCGCGAAAGCGUGGAGGAGCAAACAGGAUUAGAUACCCUGUAGUCCACGCCGUAAACGAUGAGUGCUAAGUGUUAGGGGGGUUUCCCGCCCCCUUAGUGCUGCAGCUAACGCAUU
rnacentral:rRNA from 1 species